rnacentral:rRNA from 1 species
GUAAGCGUGGUAACACGUUUAGCUGACCGGUACUAAUAGGUCGAGGCCUCGACCCU